AUGCACGCUGGCGGCGUGCCUAAUACCUGCCAGUCGAGCGCACAGACGAGGAGCUUGCUCCUCUGACGUUAGCGGCGGACGGGUGAGUAACACGUGGAUAACCUACCUAUAAGACUGGGAUAACUUCGGGAAACCGGAGCUAAUACCGGAUAAUAUAUUGAACCGCAUGGUUCAAUAGUGAAAGACGGUUUUGCUGUCACUUAUAGAUGGAUCCGCGCCGCAUUAGCUAGUUGGUAAGGUAACGGCUUACCAAGGCGACGAUGCGUAGCCGACCUGAGAGGGUGAUCGGCCACACUGGAACUGAGACACGGUCCAGACUCCUACGGGAGGCAGCAGUAGGGAAUCUUCCGCAAUGGGCGAAAGCCUGACGGAGCAACGCCGCGUGAGUGAUGAAGGUCUUCGGAUCGUAAAACUCUGUUAUUAGGGAAGAACAAAUGUGUAAGUAACUAUGCACGUCUUGACGGUACCUAAUCAGAAAGCCACGGCUAACUACGUG
rnacentral:rRNA from 1 species